GGUUAAGCGACUAAGCGUACACGGUGGAUGCCCUGGCAGUCAGAGGCGAUGAAGGACGUGCUAAUCUGCGAUAAGCGUCGGUAAGGUGAUAUGAACCGAUAUAACCGGCGAUUUCCGAAUGGGGAAACCCAGUGUGUUUCGACACACUAUCAUUAACUGAAUCCAUAGGUUAAUGAGGCGAACCGGGGGAACUGAAACAUCUAAGUACCCCGAGGAAAAGAAAUCAACCGAGAUUCCCCCAGUAGCGGCGAGCGAACGGGGAGGAGCCCAGAGCCUGAAUCAGUGUGUGUGUUAGUGGAAGCGUCUGGAAAGGUGCGCGAUACAGGGUGACAGCCCCGUACACAAAAAUGCACAUGCUGUGAGCUCGAUGAGUAGGGCGGGACACGUGGUAUCCUGUCUGAAUAUGGGGGGACCAUCCUCCAAGGCUAAAUACUCCUGACUGACCGAUAGUGAACCAGUACCGUGAGGGAAAGGCGAAAAGAACCCCGGCGAGGGGAGUGAAAAAGAACCUGAAACCGUGUACGUACAAGCAGUGGGAGCA
rnacentral:rRNA from 1 species